rnacentral:rRNA from 1 species
CUGGGCUCGAACGGCUCAUGACCGGUGGUGGAACCACUGCCUUUCCCGCAAGGGACUAGAGUCGAGGUGCUGCAUGGCUGUCGUCAGCUCGUGUCGUGAGAUGUUGGGUUAAGUCCCGCAACGAGCGCAACCCUUGUCCUGUGUUGCCAAGCCCGAAAGGGGGGCACUCUCAGGAGACCGCCAGCGAUAAGUUGGAGGAAGGUGGGGAUGACGUCAAGUCAUCAUGGCCUUUAUGUCCAGGGCUACACACGUGCUACAAUGGGCGGUACAAAGCGCAGCAAACCCGCGAGGGGGAGCAAAUCGCAAAAAACCGUUCUCAGUUCGGAUUGCAGGCUGCAACCCGCCUGCAUGAAGCUGGAAUCGCUAGUAAUGGCAUAUCAGAACGAUGCCGUGAAUACGUUCCCGGGCCUUGUNCACACCGCCGUCACAUCACGAAAGUGGGCUGUACUANAAGCGCGCAGGCUAACCCGCAAGGGAGGCAGCGUUCCAAGGNAUGACUCAUGAUUGGGGUGA